rnacentral:rRNA from 1 species
GACGAACGCUGGCGGCGUGCCUAAUACAUGCAAGUAGAACGCUGAAGGAGGAGCUUGCUUCUCUGGAUGAGUUGCGAACGGGUGAGUAACGCGUAGGUAACCUGCCUGGUAGCGGGGGAUAACUAUUGGAAACGAUAGCUAAUACCGCAUAAUAGCAGUUGUUGCAUGACAACUGUUUGAAAGGUGCAAUUGCACCACUACCAGAUGGACCUGCGUUGUAUUAGCUAGUUGGUGGGGUAACGGCUCACCAAGGCGACGAUACAUAGCCGACCUGAGAGGGGGAUCGGCCACACUGGGACUGAGACACGGCCCAGACUCCUACGGGAGGCAGCAGUAGGGAAUCUUCGGCAAUGGACGGAAGGCUGACCGAGCAACGCCGCGUGAGUGAAGAAGGUUUUCGGAUCGUAAAGCUCUGUUGUAAGAGAAGAACGAGUGUGAGAGUGGAAAGUUCACACUGUGACGGUAUCUUACCAGAAAGGGACGGCUAACUACGUG